GGCAGCCGCGGUAAUUCCAGCUCCAAUAGCGUAUAUUAAAGUUGUUGCAGUUAAAAAGCUCGUAGUUGAAUUUCGGGGUUAGUAGGUUGGUCAUGCCUCUGGUAUGUACUGGUCUCACUGAUUCCUCCUUCCUGAUGAACCUUAAUGCCAUUAAUUUGGUGUUUUGGGGAAUUUGGACUGUUACUUUGAAAAAAUUAGAGUGUUUAAAGCAAGCUAACGCUUGAAUACAUUAGCAUGGAAUAAUGAAAUAGGACGUUCGAUCCUAUUUUGUUGGUUUCUAGGAUUGACGUAAUGAUUAAUAGGGAUAGUUGGGGGCAUUAGUAUUCAAUUGUCAGAGGUGAAAUUCUUGGAUUUAUUGAAGACUAACUACUGCGAAAGCAUUUGCCAAGGAUGUUUUCAUUAAUCAAGAACGAAAGUUAGGGGAUCGAAGACGAUCAGAUACCGUCGUAGUCUUAACCAUAAACUAUGCCGACUAGGGAUCGGAUGAUGUUAAUUUUUUAAUGACUCA
rnacentral:rRNA from 1 species